AGAACUGACCUGGUGUUGUCCUUCAGCGCAGUGAAGCAGUUUGUGAGGGACAGCCUGUCCUCUCAGACCUCCCUCAUCACCCUGUCCCACGUGGCUGCACUGGAGAAGAAACUCACCAAGCACUUCCAUCUCAACAACUUCCUCAGUCUGGAGAUGGGCAGCUUCUUAGACUUCCUCACCAAACAUAUACAGCUCCUCCAGGAGUGCCUGGGCUCGGCUCUGGUCCUCAGCAGCAGCAGCAGUCUGGGGCUGGGGGGCAGUGGUUUCAAACCCACCCGACAGGACGUGUUUGAGUUCAUCAAACAGUGUGGAGAUGUGGACCACAAUGACCCAGAGGAGGUACAGUCUUCAUGCACCCAGAGAGACUCAACUACUGUCAACAAUAGCAUUAGUAAACUGAAGAAAACACACUCAUUUCAAGAGUCAGGAUAUUUAAAGUUGGGGGUAUUAUCUUCAUUGUCUGACACCUUGUUGAUCAGAAAAUGAGAUAUUGAUCUAAAACAAAGUAUUCAAAUUUCCCCUUUGUUUACUGUUGGGGCCUUUUGUAGUUUGGGAAAUAACUGUUCUUUAAAUUACCAAGUUAUGACACAAUGUCCCACAAAUAUAACUUUUCCACUAAAAAAGAGCACAACUCCUUUAGUAAAUGUGGGAAAAAGGUCCCACAUUUACAAGACCAAAGGACCAAGGUCUUUUUGGUCUGGAAGACAUUAAGGCAUGAAUGUAAAUGUGAACGUUUCCAUAUAAAAGUGCAGUAGUGAUAUGUUCUAAAAGUAAGGUGUUCCGUCUGUCCCGCUCAGCUCUCUCUCAUAGACUCGGCUCUGCGGGCUCACUACCGGCUCAGGGACUGCAGAGACCUGGGCUUCGGUUCUCUGCACAGACUGGCCAUCUAGUGCAGAAGCAGCUCUCCGGAGGCGGACUCAGCCCCGUCCACUACGAGGCGGCGCUGCUGGCCAGACACGACGGCUCAUGGUGGGUGACACACACGAAAUCCACUCAUCUGGAGGGUAACUCACUGCUCUGCUUUUCCACAGUGUCACAGCAGAAGGGGAGUCUGUGGGUCGUCUGGGCGCGAUGAACAAAGAUCAGGCCCUGUCCAGUCUACUCUCCUGCCCCCUGCUGGAGGACAUGGGCCAGUGGAGCCAAUGGGACCUGGUGUUCAAACCACUUUUUGGCUCUUUGAAAGAUUUCAUGGAGAGAAAUGCAGGUAUGAUUUUCAGAAUUGGAUAAGACUCGCCAAAUGACCGGCCUAAAGGCUAAAGAUUGAUGACACCUGAAAAACCUGGCCCC
rnacentral:lncRNA from 1 species